rnacentral:tRNA from 1 species
GGGAAGGUGGCUCAGUAGUAGAGUGCUUGCCUUGCAUGCAUGAGGGCCUGGGUUCGAUUCCUCACCACCACG